rnacentral:tRNA from 1 species
GGUCCCAUAGCUCAAUUGGUUAGAGCGUGGUGCUAAUAACCCAAGGUCGCGAGUUCGACCUCGUUGGGACCA